rnacentral:rRNA from 1 species
CUACGGGUCGCUCCAGUGGGGAAUAUUGCACAAUGGGCGAAAGCCUGAUGCAGCAACGCCGCGUGGAGGAUGACACAUUUCGGUGCGUAAACCCCUUUUAUAUAGGAAGAUAAUGACGGUACUAUAUGAAUAAGCGCCGGCUAACUCCGUGCCAGCAGCCGCGGUAAUACGGAGGGCGCAAGCGUUACUCGGAAUCACUGGGCGUAAAGGGCGUGUAGGCGGAUAGAUAAGUUGGGAGUGAAAUCCUAUGGCUCAACCAUAGAACUGCUUCCAAAACUGUCUAUCUAGAGUAUGGGAGAGGUAGAUGGAAUUUCUGGUGUAGGGGUAAAAUCCGUAGAGAUCAGAAGGAAUACCGAUUGCGAAGGCGAUCUACUGGAACAUUACUGACGCUGAGACGCGAAAGCGUGGGGAGCAAACAGGAUUAGAUACCCUUGUAGUC